rnacentral:lncRNA from 1 species
CAAUUACAAACGAUUUUCUCUUAAUCACACUUAGGGUUUCAAUUUCAACCUUCUUAAAUCUCUCAUAAUAGUAUCACACAUUCUUCUCAUCUUCUUUUCCAUGUAGGUCUCGCAUAUUCUACUCUAAUAAGUCCUCUAUUAUGUUCUUUCUUUUUUAUCUUUUAUGUUACUAUUUUCUCUUCCAAUUACGUUUUUAUUGCA